rnacentral:rRNA from 1 species
GACGAACGCUGGCGGCGUGCUUAACACAUGCAAGUCGAACGGAAAGGCCUCUUUCGGGGGGUACUCGCGUGGCGAACGGGUGAGUAACACGUGAGUAACCUGCCCUUGACUUUGGGAUAACUUCAGGAAACUGGGGCUAAUACCGGAUAGGAGCUCCUGCUGCAUGGUGGGGGUUGGAAAGUUUCGGCGGUUGGGGAUGGACUCGCGGCUUAUCAGCUUGUUGGUGGGGUAGUGGCUUACCAAGGCUUUGACGGGUAGCCGGCCUGAGAGGGUGACCGGCCACAUUGGGACUGAGAUACGGCCCAGACUCCUACGGGAGGCAGCAGUGGGGAAUAUUGCACAAUGGGUGGAAGCCUGAUGUAGCAACGCCGUGUGCGGGAUGACGGCCUUCGGGUUGGAAACCGCUUUCGCUCAUGACGAAGCUUUGUGUGACGGUAGUGGGUAAAGAAGCACCGGCUAACUACGUG